rnacentral:rRNA from 1 species
GACAGAGGCCUCAAGCGUUGGGCGGAAUCACUGGGCUUAAAGCGUGUGUAGGCGGAUCGUUAAGUGUCUUGUGAAAUCCCACGGCUCACCCGUGGAACUGCUGGGCAUACUGGCGAUCUUGGGCCAACUAGGGGCAACUGGAACAAGCGGUGGAGCGGUGAAAUGCGUAGAUAUCGCUUGGAACGCCAAAGGUGAAAACAGGUCGCUGGGGUUGUGCCGACGCUGAGACACGAAAGCCAGGGGAGCAAACGGG